GUGGGCUGGAGAGAUGGCUCAGAGG
rnacentral:piRNA from 2 species